CUCACAAUAAUAGCAUUUUGUGUCAUUUUAGCAGUAGCAGCAUUUGUGUUCAAAGUAAUUGUCUUCAACAAGGGAAAGUACCAUCCUGUUGCUGGAACAAUCAUCGAUCAUUUGCUGAAUUUCAACAGGCUGCAUGAUUACAUGACAGAAAUGGCAAGCAAAUACAAUACCUAUAGGAUACUUAAUCUUUUCCAAAGUGAGGUUUACACCUCCGACCCUGUUAAUAUCGAGUAUAUUCUAAAGACAAAUUUCCCCAACUAUGGCAAGGUAACAUAUUUUUGGCUUAAGGUUAAUGCUUAACAUAGUUUCUCAAUCUCAAUCUGAUACAAAAAAAUGGUCCUUUGAGCUCGCUGACCAUGAAAUCAUGGUUAACAUAUGCUUGUAACAAUUGAUGUACACCAUUCUCUAUCCUAGCUGUUAAAUUAGGUCUUAGACCUAACUUACACCCAAAAGCUAGCUCAAAUGGAGGAGGAUUGCCCAAGAUGAGAAUUGACUAGUUUCUCACUCUAUCAUGUUUCAGGGUUGGCACCAUUACAGCAGAUUGAAUGAUCUUCUCGGUGAUGGGAUCUUCACAGUCGAUGGAGACAAGUGGAAAAACCAACGGAAGAUAUCAAGUUAUGAAUUCUCCACCAAAAAUUUAAGGGACUUUAGUAGUGCAGUUUUCAGAAUUAGUGCGGUAAAACUUGCUCACAAAGUAUCUGAAGCUGUGACCUCAAAUCAAGCAACAGAUAUUCAAGUAUGGAACUCUGGUUUGCUCUUCUGCAGUAAAAUUAACAAGUUAAUAAUAAGCUAAAAACUCUUACAUUUCUUGGCAGGACUUGUUUACUAAAUCAACACUGGAGACGGUAUUCAAGAUUUUACUAGGUGUGGAUCUAGACACUACAACUGAAGAAGGCAUUCUCUUUUCCAAUGCUUUUGAUGAAGCUAGUGCAGUAACUCUCUAUCGCUACGUUGAUGUGUUUUGGAAAGUGAAAAGAUUUCUAAACAUUGGGUCAGAAGCAAAUAUGAAGAAGUGUAUUAAAGUGGUUGAUGAAUUUGUAUAUAAAAUUAUCAGAAACAAGACAGAACAGAUGAGCAAGUCGCGAGAUGACAGCAGGGUGGUAAGUUCAAGCAGAUAACCUUCUAACUUAUUUCCCGUGAGCAAGAGCACCAAAUGAUAUUUGAAUUUUUACAUGUUUGGCAGAUGAAGAAAUCAGAUAUUCUGUCUAGGUUUCUGGAAAUGAACAAAACGGAUCCAAAGUACCUUAAGGACAUAAUCCUUAGCUUUAUAAUUGCUGGCAAAGACACUACAGCUAGCACACUUUCCUGGUUCUUCUAUAUGAUGUGCAAGCACCCUCUCCUACAAGAAAAAAUUGCAGAUGAAGUCAGGAAAGCAACUGGAAUAAACCAGAAUUCGAGUAUUGAUGAGCUAGCUAACAGCAUUACUGAUGACGCACUGGAUAAAAUGCAGUAUCUCCAUGCAUCAUUAACUGAGACGCUCAGAUUAUAUCCUGCAAUUCCUGUGGUAAUACAUACAUAUAUAGUGAGAAUGAUAUAAUAUUCACAAACAUAUAGAUGUCAUUAGGUCAAUGCUUCAUGCAUGCUUAUACAUAGUUUUAUAUGCCUAUUAGGCCAGUGCUUCAUGUAUAUAUGUCUUGAUAUUGAGUUUUUUCUCUAUGCAGGAUAGCAAAGUUUGUUUAUCAGAUGACACUUUCCCUGAUGGGUUCAAAGUGAGGAAAGGGGACGCUGUCGCAUAUCAACCAUGGGCUAUGGGCAGGAUGACAUCUUUAUGGGGUGAUGAUGCAGAGGAUUUUCGGCCAGAGAGAUGGAUUGAUGAAAAUUGUUGCUUUCGGCAAGAAAGUCCCUUUAAGUUCACAGCCUUCCAGGUACCACAGAGCCUUACAAUCUUAUAACUACUACAGUUAAAACUUCUAAGAGCUUAGCUUCACCAGACAGAACUAGUUUUUCCCAUCCAACCUUGACAAAGAAACAAAUUACAAUUGUUAAGUUUUACAGGGUUCAAAUAUUAUGAUUGAUGAAUGGUAUGAUUAUGCGAGAAACUGGUAUAAAGCUUUUAAUCCCCUUCCUAACAUCUGUUUAUUUUUAACGUCACAGCUCAUGUGCACGAGACAUUCACAUGAGAACCUUCUUCAUUCGACACCUCUUCAACCUCGAUCAUCCUAACCUCUCAUUCUCUGCCCAAAACAACAAUUCAUUCCUAGCUACAAAUUAUAGAACCCAAAACAAACUAAAGGGCGAAUGUCUAAGAAAGAAGGAAAACCCGUUGAAUUUGACAGUAGAUCAAACAAAAUUUUGCAGUUUAUGGAGAACCAAUGCGUACUCAUUAAUACAAACUCUGGAGGUCUGGGGUCUAAAGCCAAAGUUUUUGUGUAUUGUUCAUGAUUUUGGCCUGUACUCAAACCAGAUACUUAUAAGACGACUCUCUGUUCAUCAGCAAAUUAAUUCUAUUUACAAAUAAGAUCAAUGUGUUUGGCAUACAUGAAGCUCCUCUCUUCAUGUUUGUGUUUUCUUCAUCAUAAUUAUUCAACAAUCAUAUAGAUGGUGCUAUUGCUAUAAUAAUUUGCAGGGUGGGCCGAGAAUUUGUUUGGGGAAGGAAUUUGCUUACAGACAGAUGAAGAUCUUUUCAGCAGUGUUGCUGGGCACCUUUAGAUUUAAGCUGAGUGAUGAAGAAAGAAGAGUUACAUACAGAACCAUGCUCACUCUUCACAUUGACGGUGGCCUCCAUCUUCAUGCUUCCUACAGAUUACGCCACCACAACCCGCCGGCCCGGAACAAUAUGCCUGCUUAAUACUCCAUAUUAUCUUGUCUGCA
rnacentral:lncRNA from 1 species